rnacentral:lncRNA from 1 species
GCAAGAAGCCUUACAAGUAGAUGUGAGUCAAGGUCUCCAGUUUAGAACUUUGCCUUCAUCUCAGAGCCCAAACAAGAGAAAAACAUUAUAGAUGUGAUGUGUAUGGAGAUCCUCAGGAAGGGCUGAUGUUUUCAUAGCUACUGGUCUGCCUAGGAAGGGAAAAUCUGCAAGUUUGGUAAAUAGGGAAAGCACUUCAGUCACAAACUUCAGUCUUCAAGAGUCUGUUGCACAGUUGAAUACUCCUUAAGGCAAUGACCUGGCCAGCGGCUUCAGUGAAAAUGGUCACCUUCAUCAGAGCUGGCCUAGGAGGGAGGUUUUACAAAUGAUGACAGUAAAGAGAAUGUAUCCUAGGAGCAGAUUAUACACAGUACUUGUGGCGGGGGAAAUACCUGUAAACAGAGCAAAUGUAAGAAAAACAUUGUCCUCUUACUCAAACCAAUAAUGUCC